UGUAUAAUGGGUCAGCGACUUAUAUUCUGUAGCAAGGUUAACCGAAUAGGGGAGCCGAAGGGAAACCGAGUCUUAACUGGGCGUUAAGUUGCAGGGUAUAGACCCGAAACCCGGUGAUCUAGCCAUGGGCAGGUUGAAGGUUGGGUAACACUAACUGGAGGACCGAACCGACUAAUGUUGAAAAAUUAGCGGAUGACUUGUGGCUGGGGGUGAAAGGCCAAUCAAACCGGGAGAUAGCUGGUUCUCCCCGAAAGCUAUUUAGGUAGCGCCUCGUGAAUUCAUCUCCGGGGGUAGAGCACUGUUUCGGCAAGGGGGUCAUCCCGACUUACCAACCCGAUGCAAACUGCGAAUACCGGAGAAUGUUAUCACGGGAGACACACGGCGGGUGCUAACGUCCGUCGUGAAGAGGGAAACAACCCAGACCGCCAGCUAAGGUCCCAAAGUCAUGGUUAAGUGGGAAACGAUGUGGGAAGGCCCAGACAGCCAGGAUGUUGGCUUAGAAGCAGCCAUCAUUUAAAGAAAGCGUAAUAGCUCACUGGUCGAGUCGGCCUGCGCGGAAGAUGUAACGGGGCUAAACCAUGCACCGAAGCUGCGGCAGCGACGCUUAUGCGUUGUUGGGUAGGGGAGCGUUCUGUAAGCCUGCGAAGGUGUACUGUGAGGUAUGCUGGAGGUAUCAGAAGUGCGAAUGCUGACAUAAGUAACGAUAAAGCGGGUGAAAAGCCCGCUCGCCGGAAGACCAAGGGUUCCUGUCCAACGUUAAUCGGGGCAGGGUGAGUCGACCCCUAAGGCGAGGCCGAAAGGCGUAGUCGAUGGGAAACAGGUUAAUAUUCCUGUACUUGGUGUUACUGCGAAGGGGGGACGGAGAAGGCUAUGUUGGCCGGGCGACGGUUGUCCCGGUUUAAGCGUGUAGGCUGGUUUUCCAGGCAAAUCCGGAAAAUCAAGGCUGAGGCGUGAUGACGAGGCACUACGGUGCUGAAGCAACAAAUGCCCUGCUUCCAGGAAAAGCCUCUAAGCAUCAGGUAACAUCAAAUCGUACCCCAAACCGACACAGGUGGUCAGGUAGAGAAUACCAAGGCGCUUGAGAGAACUCGGGUGAAGGAACUAGGCAAAAUGGUGCCGUAACUUCGGGAGAAGGCACGCUGAUACGUAGGUGAAGUCCCUUGCGGAUGGAGCUGAAAUCAGUCGAAGAUACCAGCUGGCUGCAACUGUUUAUUAAAAACACAGCACUGUGCAAACACGAAAGUGGACGUAUACGGUGUGACGCCUGCCCGGUGCCGGAAGGUUAAUUGAUGGGGUUAGCGGUAACGCGAAGCUCUUGAUCGAAGCCCCGGUAAACGGCGGCCGUAACUAUAACGGUCCUAAGGUAGCGAAAUUCCUUGUCGGGUAAGUUCCGACCUGCACGAAUGGCGUAAUGAUGGCCAGGCUGUCUCCACCCGAGACUCAGUGAAAUUGAACUCGCUGUGAAGAUGCAGUGUACCCGCGGCAAGACGGAAAGACCCCGUGAACCUUUACUAUAGCUUGACACUGAACAUUGAGCCUUGAUGUGUAGGAUAGGUGGGAGGCUUUGAAGUGUGGACGCCAGUCUGCAUGGAGCCGACCUUGAAAUACCACCCUUUAAUGUUUGAUGUUCUAACGUUGGCCCCUGAUCGGGGUUGCGGACAGUGUCUGGUGGGUAGUUUGACUGGGGCGGUCUCCUCCUAAAGAGUAACGGAGGAGCACGAAGGUUGGCUAAUCCUGGUCGGACAUCAGGAGGUUAGUGCAAUGGCAUAAGCCAGCUUGACUGCGAGCGUGACGGCGCGAGCAGGUGCGAAAGCAGGUCAUAGUGAUCCGGUGGUUCUGAAUGGAAGGGCCAUCGCUCAACGGAUAAAAGGUACUCCGGGGAUAACAGGCUGAUACCGCCCAAGAGUUCAUAUCGACGGCGGUGUUUGGCACCUCGAUGUCGGCUCAUCACAUCCUGGGGCUGAAGUAGGUCCCAAGGGUAUGGCUGUUCGCCAUUUAAAGUGGUACGCGAGCUGGGUUUAGAACGUCGUGAGACAGUUCGGUCCCUAUCUGCCGUGGGCGCUGGAGAACUGAGGGGGGCUGCUCCUAGUACGAGAGGACCGGAGUGGACGCAUCACUGGUGUUCGGGUUGUCAUGCCAAUGGCACUGCCCGGUAGCUAAAUGCGGAAGAGAUAAGUGCUGAAAGCAUCUAAGCACGAAACUUGCC
rnacentral:rRNA from 1 species